CUUUUAAAGGAAACGAGUCCUCC
rnacentral:tRNA from 1 species